GGCGAACGCUGACGGCGUGCUUAACACAUCCAAGUCGAGCGAUGAAAGCCUUAUCAACUAUUCGUAGUGAUUUAGGCCGGAUUAGCGGCGGACGGGUGAGUAACGCGUGAGCAACCUGCCUUAAACAACGGGAUAGCCUCGGGAAACCGGGAUUAAUACCGUAUGAGACCCCGCCUUCACAUGAAGAAGAUGUUAAAGAUUUAUCGGUUUAAGAUGGGCUAGCGUCUGAUUAGCUAGUUGGUGAGAUAAAAGACCAGCAAGGCAACGAUCAGUAACCGGCUUGGGAGAGUGAACGGUCACAUUGGAACUGAGACAAGGUACAAACUCAUACGGGAGGCAGCAGUGGGGAAUAUUGCACAAUGGGGGAAACCCUGAUGCAGCGACGCCGCGUGAGCGAUGAAGGAAUUCGUUUCGUAAAGCUCUGUCCAAGGGGAAGAUAAUGACAGUAACCUUGGAGGAAACUCAGGCUAAAUACGUGCCAGCCGCCGCGGUAAAAC
rnacentral:rRNA from 1 species